rnacentral:rRNA from 1 species
AACUUAAAUGAAUUGACGGGGCCCGCACAAGCGGAGGAACAUGUGGUUUUAAUUCGAUGAUACGCGAGGAACCUUACCUGGGCUUAAAUGGGGAGUGACAGCUGUCGAAAGAUGGUUUUCUUCGGACACUCUUCAAGGUGCUGCAUGGUUGUCGUCAGCUCGUGCCGUGAGGUGUCGGGUUAAGUCCCAUAACGAGCGCAACCCUUACCGUUAGUUACCAUCAGGUUAAGCUGGGGACUCUAGCGGGACUGCCACCGUAAGGUGAGAGGAAGGUGGGGAUGACGUCAAAUCAGCACGGCCCUUAUGUCCAGGGCUACACACGUGUUACAAUGGCCGGUACAAAGGGCAGCUACUUCGCGAGAAGAUGCUAAUCUCGAAAGCCGGUCUCAGUUCGGAUCGAAGUCUGCAACCCGACUUCGUGAAGCUGGAUUCGCUAGUAAUCGCGCAUCAGCCAUGGCGCGGUGAAUACGUUCCCGGGCCUU